UAGGGAAUCUUCCACAAUGGGUGCAAACCUGAUGGAGCAAUGCCGCGUGAGUGAAGAAGGUCUUCGGAUCGUAAAGCUCUGUUGUUAGAGAAGAACACGUGCUAGGUAACUACUAGCGCCUUGACGGUAUCUAACCAGAAAGUCACGGCUAACUACGUGCCAGCAGCCGCGGUAAUACGUAGGUGACAAGCGUUGUCCGGAUUUAUUGGGCGUAAAGGGAGCGCAGGCGGUCUGUUUAGUCUAAUGUGAAAGCCCACGGCUUAACCGUGGAACGGCAUCGGAAACUGACAGACUUGAAUGUAGAAGAGGAAAAUGGAAUUCCAAGUGUAGCGGUGGAAUGCGUAGAUAUUUGGAGGAACACCAGUGGCGAAGGCGAUUUUCUGGUCUAACAUUGACGCUGAGGCUCGAAAGCGUGGGGAGCGAACAGGAUUAGAUACCCUGGUAGUCCACGCCGUAAACGAUGAGUGCUAAGUGUUGGGGGCUUUCCGGCCCUCGGUGCUGGAGCUAACGUAUUAAGCACUCCGCCUGGGGAUUACGACCGCAAGGUUG
rnacentral:rRNA from 1 species